AUCAUUGGCGAUUUCAACAUUUCGGAUUCGAGAGUGUGUCUUUCAGGAUUUGGGCCCAGACCUUCCUGGAUUAUGUGGUGAUUGCUGUAAUCCCGGGGUUCCCAUAGGAGGCAGCAGGAGAGCCAAGGUAAAGGGAUGCAGGUACCGAUGGAGGAGGCGACUCGAGUGGGGAUGCGAGAUCUCUGGGAGCUGUGAAGACACAGAUGCUCCGGGAACCCAUCCGGUCUACCCAUCCAUCAAUCUACCCUGUCACUCACCCACCCUUCUAUCUGUCCAUUUACCCAUCAUUUCCAGAAUCCCCACCCUAUUUCCAAAUCUUGCCUUGCAUAAAUAGGGAUAUAAUGGUGAAUUUGGCAUGAUUCCUUUCCCUCAAGAAGCUCCUGUGGUGUAGUGGGGAGAAACAAACAUGAUGGCGAUGGCAGUUAACUUUUACUGGAGACUUAAUACACAUGUGUGCACAUGUGAGCAAACAUGCGGAUGUGUGUAACAGGCACCUGCCUCCACCCCUGAAGACUCUGGGAAAGGUAGUGCUAUGGCCCCUGGCUCUGGGAUUGGUCAUCACUGAAGGGAAAUGACUGAACCAUCAACCAUUAAACAGGAGAAAAAACACUCUGACUGGAACAGAGGAAACAAAUCACUGAGGUCCUAGGCUCGUGGUAAUGACAGUCACCCUUGGCUUCGGGCGGGACUGGUAGGAUCUUGCUGCUUCUUCCCAGCAGACCCACCAGAUCCCCUCCCUUUUGAGUUGUUUUUCUGAAGCAGUGGGCCCUUCUCGCAGUAAUGAGAUAAUCCCAAGGCCUUACACUAACCGAUUGUUCACAGAAGUCCAGGUAACUGCUGUGGAGAAGCAGCCAGGGCCUGAGAGUGAGCGUGGUGACGAGCCGUUUUCAUCUCCCAAAUGCUGGCGGGGUCGGAGCUCAGCUCUGGGAAGAGGCUUGCCGAGACAAGUGCCAGAGGAACUGUCCCUCUCUCUCUGUCAGACAGAUGGGCUGAUUACAAGAGGACACCGAGGCCAGCCUCCCCCCCUCCUUGCCCCCCGACGGUCCAUGACUUGCCCUGAGUGGCCUGGUACUGAGCAGCCUCGUGGGCCCAGCGCUCACUCUGAGAACCUGCCCCAGCCUGCAGCACCCUGCUCAGUGGGGGGCCCCUUGCACUGUCUGAGGGACUCCCUAGGGGUGACAGACCCUUCUCACCGAAAGCCUCAAGGUCACCCCUGAAGGCUGACAUUGGCCUGCUGGGAAAGCAAGAACUGGGGCUCUGGGGACCCCAGCUCCAGAUGCGACUCCCAGUUCUUUAGCACUUGAGCAUCCUGACCUUUAGGUUACCUUCCUGAGCCUCGGCUGUCCCACCUGUACGGUGCCACAGGUAAGAUCCAGGAGGAAUGGCAAUGACAUUUAUAAACACCAGAAGAAAAGGGACUGCCAGUGAAAAUUCCAGUGGUUUCCUUCCCAUGGAAAAUGCCAGACUGAUCUGCAAAUGGACACGGCCACGCCGAGCACUGAGAGUGAUCAUGACAGUGAGCAGAGCAGGACUGAGCCAGAGCAGCUCACACCUGUUACCGUGUGGCUCAUGGAGACGGCCAGGUGUGAUUCAGGAGCAGAUGGAGACCCAGCCAGGAAAUAGUCCAGACACUGGUUGACAGGGACAGUGCCACAACCCCAGGGACAUGAGAGGGCUUCCCAGAGGGUGGUCUUGGAGCAGUUGGGUGUCCUUAGAGGGAAGCAGACCUUGACCCCUACUUGACACACACCCAGCUGGAUCAUGUGGGAUCUGUCGUGGAUCUCAAGGCAGAAAGCAAAGUGGUGUAUCUUUCAGAAGAAAAUAGAACACCGUCUUCACGACUUAAGGGAUGGACAAAGAUUUCUUCUCUAGUAAAUAUGAAGUCUAAACAUAAAGGUCAAAACUGGUAAGUCAGGCUGUAACAAAAUUAAGGACAUUUGGUCCAGGGAGAGCUGCCACCGGAGAGCAAGAGGCCAGGGAGGGGGGACUGCAUUACAGACAGCUACAAAUCAGUAAGAAAAUGGCAGAUAAAACAGAAGUGGGUGAAGAGUUUAAACAGAAACACUACGGCUCGGCACCUGUGGCUCAAGCAGCUAAGGCGCCAGCCAUAUACACCUGAGCUGGCAGGUUCGAAUCCAGCCUGGGCCUGCCAAACAACAAUGACGGCUAAUAGCCGGGCGUUGUGGCUGGCUCCUGCAGUCCCAGCUACUUGGGAGGCGGAGGCAGGAGAAUCGCUUUAGCCCAGGAGUUGUAGGUUGCUGUGAGCUGUGAUGCCAGAGCAUUCUACCCAGGGCGACAGCUUGAGGCUCUGUCUCAAAAAAAAAAAAAAAUACUUAACAAAGAGAUGAUUCAAAUGAUCAAUAAUAAACAUGUAAAGGUGGCUCACCUGUCAGUCAUGACGGGAGUGUAAGUUGAGAAUACAGUAUGUUACUGGGACACAGCCACCAGAAUGCAAAGGGUACCCUGGCGGACAUUCACCGGUGUGUGUGGAGCAGCCAGAGUUGCAGAGCUGGUGGGGGUAGAAAAGGGUUCAAGCACUUUGAGCCACUUGGUUUGAACCAAAACCAUCCAGUAGUGUCCCUCCCCUCCCCCCCCCACUAUGACUUCUACUUUCCCUGAGCAAUGGAGAUGCACG